ACCCCAGAAUCAGAGUGAUGGAUAACACAUGUACAAAUGUACACACAUCAUCUGCUCCUGCACAUAGAUGCCCGGAGUGCACGUGUGCACGUGCUGCUGACGCGUCUACUCCUGUUGUGUCCCACUCACGGCUUUUGGGACACAGGGUCUGUCAGUCAUUGUCCAGGCCUUUGCCUUGGUACUAGUUAAAGAGAUCUGGGAAAUACAAAGGAGCUAAAGGUUCUGACAAGUCCUGCAGGAAAUAGCCCCUUUAAUUUUCUUUAGUUGGUGUAUCUCAAACUCUUUCCACCAGAUGGUCCCUACCCCCAGGGCAUGUGUUGAGAAGCAAGCUUAACCUAUACAGAGGGAAUUUAGGCUCCCUCCCAGUGUUUCCUUCUCUACUCCCUGCCUCUGAGGCCAUAAGCCAGUCCCUCCUCUGUGAGCCUCAGUUUCCUCACCUGAACAUGGUAAUAAUCAUCCCGCCUUGUAUUAGCUCUUGGAAAGUUUUGGGGAGCCCAGGAAAGUGAGCAUUUAAAAAUGGUUGAUCGUGAAUCACAUGCUACCUUUCUUUACCUUUUUCAUACCUUCGUUCCCUGAGUCAGAAAACUCAGGAGUGGGCCAACCUGGGCCUCAGCACUUAGGACAGCACUCUUUGGAAGAGGAGCUCUUCUUUUGGAAUUACCCAGCCCCCUCUCACUACCCCCCCCCCAUAGUGGCAACAUGGGCCUGACCCUGACAUCAUCAUGGAGCCCAGGAAAUGUAUUGUGACCUUGUCUGUCCUUAUAUCCCUGCCUCUCCUUCACCAUGGUACCACCAGCCUAAAUGUCACCACUGGAUCCACCAGUGGGAGGAAUGAGCCAUCCCUGUCAUCUCCACCCCUGUCAUUUCUCAGCCCCACAGCCCCUAUAGAAGUAACAGAAUGGGGAAUGAUGCUGCCUUUGCAUAUGUACAGCUUCUUUCAAGAAUUGGCCAGUGUGUCACCCUGAACAACCUGCUUCCCCUUCCCCCAGUAGGGUAUGGUGCCCCUGUGAUGUUCAUAAAUGCUGAGUUCUCUUCAGAGCUAAGUAAGCCCCGAUGAGCCGGACCAGGGAGCCUCGCUGGACAGGGCUGGGGACCCUGCCCCCCUCACCUCCUAGAAGCCCUCCUAGGCCUGCUAAAGACCAGCGUUUGCCAAUGCCCUCCCCCGGACUCUCUGCGGAGCACCUGCGGUUAGAGAGCUCGGAGACGCGGACCAGAGAAGGUCUCAGCAGCUGCCUGGGAUCGAUGCAUGAAGAGAUUCCAGGGCGGUGGUGGAGGAAGGGCCCAAUCCCUGAGAUGACCCAGCGGAGGAAAAACCCGGUCGUCACCAGUUUGCCAAGACUACAAGUCCCAGGAGUCCGAGCGGCAGGCCUUUACAUUCUUCCCAGAACCACGUUUCCCAGCAGCCAUCGGGAGCCUCAUGGAAGUCCUCUCGAAAAAUCCCGCCCCCUCCUCCCAAGUGACAGCAGGGAGAGAGGGAAGGCGGCGCCCCCAAUCUGGCCUGGUUUGAGAUGUUCCUAGCCGUGGGAGACAGACAGACUGUCAUCAAACGUCGGAAAAUAGCUGUCAUGAGACUCCUCACCCCCUGACACUUGACACCUUUCCCUUCCCAGCACCUGAAGCCCUCCUUCCUCGGCGGCAACAAAGCCGUAGUUUCUGUUCCUGUUGACUGAGCACAGAAUGCUUCCUAAUCCUCACACACCCCUGCUGGGGUAGAGAGACUGAACUGCUCAGGGUCCCAGUCAGGGUCAGGAUGUCAGGGUCCGGGUUCAAACUCAGCACUGUGGCGGGAGUCCAGAGGCCAUGCCCUUCCCAACACACACGACCAGCUGUGCUAUGGGUCUCCUGGUUCCCAUUCUUGUCCCUGCAGAAUCAAAUGAAGAAGGGGGGCAAGAUGACAGCCUUACCCCUUUGUCUGUUUCAUUCGCUUCUGUGUCCCUCGCUCCUGAGAUGCGGUCUAUCAUGAAUGAUGCCCCGCCCCACCCUCUGGGUCUUGUGCUGACCCAGACCUUGCCCAGUGUAAUGAAUUAUUCAUUUCUUUGAAAAAUGGGGACUUCCCAUGUGCCUCCUCCAGUGGUGGGUGAUGCUGGGGACCCCAGAGUCAUCAUCCCAGGACUCUGAUCUGAAAGAGGCUGCAAGCUGGCCACAGAGAUGGAUAUGGUCAGUGAGCUAUCAAAUUGGUUAUGGCUGUGACAAAGCAGGGACCAGGUGUAAGGGGUGGAGGGGGUGGGCUUGAGAGAUGGAGUUGAAGGCUUUGAUGGGGUCUGUUGGAAGGCCAGGCUGAGGGGCACCGGGGAGCCAUGGGAGGUGUGUGAGCAGAGAAGGGUUAGAGUCAACCCUGAAUGUAGAGGAGUCCCUCUGGGGUCUCCUGGGGGACAGAAAGAGGCCAGGAGAAAGUGAGCAUGAGGGUCCUGGAGAAGAGAAGGCCUGAGUGGGGGCCAGGCCAUAGAGAUGGAGAAGAGAGUAUGAAGGAGGGAGGGGCUAGUAGUGGGCUCUAAUCCAGGACACCCUCCCUCGCCUCAUCUCCUUCCAGUCUGGCAGAGCAUGGGAGACUAACCUCUCCAUUUCCCACAGCCUGCCACACCCUCCAGGCCUCCCCUGCCACCAUCCUGGGUCCAGACCCCCUCUUCUGGCAGCCUGCCCUCAACUCCGUACUCCUGUCCUCAGAGGCAAACUUACUUUCAAACUGUGUGACCUUCAGAGCACCUCCAUUUGCUGGUCUAUGAAAUGGUUGUAUUCAUUUCUAAUGGCUGCUGUAACCAAUAUCUAUAAACUUAAAGGCUUAAAACCA